GGGUGUGAUCAUACUAGCACUAAUGCGUCGGACCCUAUCAAAACUCCAUAGCUAAGCGUGGUUAGGCGAGAGUAGUGCUAAGAUGGGUGACCUCCUAGGACAUAAUACUCUCUCAACAAUUU
rnacentral:rRNA from 1 species